GUCAGAGGACAGGGAGGUCCCUGCCACUCUCAGGGGCAGAUCUGACUCCCGGCCCCAUCACAACAGGAGUGCCUUUGUGUGCACGUGUGCGUUGGGAAGAGGGGAGGUAAUGGAGCACCACUGUGAAGAUGUGGGUUCGGCUUUCCAGGGAGGAUUCAGCCUACCAGUCCACCUGCCUCAUCAGCGCUGCUAAGGAGCCGAACCGUCGACGAAGACAGCAAGAGGCGUUUUUAUGACUGGGUCGGGUAUAAGGCCCACCCUAAUCUAACUGUACAAGUGACUCACAUUUAUUGAACACUUACUGCUUACCAGAAUUUGUUCUCAAUGCUCGACAUUUUACAGAUAAGGCUAAAAGCUGAAGCAAUCUGCCACAGUCACACAGCUGGGAGGCGUCAGGGUCAGGAUCCACACGUCUCCUAACCAACCUCAAGUCUGGCUGAGACUGCUUUCUGUUUCUGGUUGUUGCCGUGUCGGGCCCCACGUGAGGUACCUCACAUAUUUUCUCUCAUCCGAUCCACUCUAACGAAGACACAAAACCAAAUGCAGUCCCGGAGGCCCUUGGCCAAUGCCAUCCUCCGCCAGCACCAGAGGCCCAGCGCUGGGCCGCAGGAGAGAAGGUCCCAGGGGCGCGGACUCGGGAACACAGAGUGGCCGAUUCCCCAGGAUGGCUCUCGCCAACAGUGACGAGGUGUGGAGGGACGAGGCAGACAAAGCUCAAGGCCAAGCCUGACAGCUGACACAGGGUGGCCUGUCGUUCUGGGUCCCAUGGAGAGCCUGGAGAGCCACGGGCAGCUAUCAAAUUCUGCUCAACCACAUCGUGUAGCCUAUCUUUCUCUAGAUUUUCCGUGGUACGGACUUCUCUGCCAAUGCUCCAGAAAUAACGAUGACCACCAAACAUAGCCCAGACCGCGCUUCCUUUCCUGGUAUUGCACGUCUGUCUCCAGGCUCAGCUCAGGACACGGAGACAAGUGGGCUACCUCAGAACACGGUACAAUAGUGAGUUGGGUUUCAGGAAGGUCGCUAGUCUGCUAAACCACAGGGCUAUGUUUUGAUGUUUUCAGCUAUCCCUAGAAACAAAACACUUCACUGUCUCUUACUAUAUAAGUUAAUUUGACUUACAGGUAGUAAUUUCUGUCUAAAAAGAAAAAGUUUAAAAAAAGAAAAAAAGACAGGUCUCCCUGCAUUUAGCCACCCGUACCAUUUUGAGAGCAGGGGCCUUCUUCUUGUCACGAUCACCGUUGUGUCCCUGCUGCCUAGACCCGUGCCUGGCACACAAUGUGUGGACAUCUAGCUUGUUAAAUAUUUGCACAGAAUAGGAUUCUGUUCUAACGAUGAUUUCCCCCCUUUCCCCACUCAAAAAGCAUCCUAUUUGUGCUUCAUCACUACAGGCAUUGAUGCUCAACUCCGUGAGGACAGCUGGCUACUGUGGCUGGAAGUGACCCAGGGGAGGACUUCUUAGGACCUUCCAGAGCACACAGCUUACAACAGGGCCAGCUUUUAGAUGGGAUUCAACUGGCCUGCAGAGACGGCCUGGUCUUGGGGAGUGACAGUACCCUCCUUCUCAGAGGAUGGCUUGUGGGCAAUCAAUCUCUACCCCUAACACCAAGCAGAGGCACUGUCCCACGAGAGACAUUAAAACAAGUGAUGGGUGGAGAGGUGGCUGAUGGGCUGGCUAUUUGUCUGUUCAUUCAAUAGAUAUUUAUUUACUAAGCACCUGUAUCUGGCAGACCCUGUCCCAUGAUACAGCAGUGGACAAAACAGAUCCAGCCUCUGUUCUCAAGGCCCUCACAGUCUCACGGUGAGCAGAGAGAGCAAAGGUUGGUUCAACCUAGAAGGAUAAGUAGAGGUAAUAGACAUGCCCCUAAGAGAGGGACCGAACCUUAGGCUGGAGGGGUCAGGUACGACUUCCCAACAAAGAGGAGUAUAAACUUAGAUCUAAAGAAUAAAAAAA